rnacentral:rRNA from 1 species
CAGCCGCCGCGGUAAUACGAAGGGUGCAAGCGUCAAUCGGAAUUACUGGGCGUAAAGCGUGCGUAGGCGGUGAGUUAAGUCUGCUGUGAAAUCCCCGGGCUCAACCUGGGAAUGGCAGUGGAUACUGGCUCGCUAGAGUGUGUCAGAGGAUGUUGGAAUUCCCGGUGUAGCGGUGAAAUGCGUAGAGAUCGGGAGGAACAUCAGUGGCGAAGGCGGCCAUCUGGGACAACACUGGCGCUGAGGCACGAAAGCGUGGGGAGCAAACAGGAUUAGAUACCCCUGUAGUCCCUGUCUCUUAUAC